rnacentral:lncRNA from 1 species
UGAAUUAUAUGUGUCGAUUGAUUAUAUACUAUGAGCUAUAUCUGAUUUCCAAAUUGUGGUGAAUAGUUGACUUACGAUUUUGAGAGGGGCUGGUGUAGGCAUCUGAAUCAACUGGACCAAGACCAGUUUCUUCUGCAUCGUUCUCACAUCAAUAGCAUUAGCAUUCAACCACUCCCCUGUAACAUCUAUUCAAGCACAAGUUAAACAUACUUGUUCAUUUGGGUUUUUCUUUUAAAAAUACUUUUAAGAUGUAAAAAGAUUAAAAGAAAUUUUUGAAUUUCAGAUUAAAGUUUGAAUAACUUAGUGAUUAACUAAAGGAAAUAAAAAGGUAAAAGAAAAAAUAGUACCAAUCAAUAGGGGGACAUCUUGGUAAAAUGAAGGAAAAGGGUGUUUCCUUUUCGACAGAGUUACAGAUUCAGAACCAUAUGCCCAAGCACUCAAAAGUUGAAAAACUCCAUAUAUCAUGAAAGAUACCUAAACAUUUAGAGUUACACAUAACGUGUAAUAUAAUAAUAAUAAUAAUAAUAAUAAUAAUAAUAAUAAUAAUAAUAAUAAUAUGUUUGAUUACUCAUUUGAUUAAAAGCUGUACAGAUUUUAUCUUAGUUUUUAUAUUUAAAAAUUGUUUAUUUUAAUUUUCGUGCCUAUCAUUUUAAAGCACGCAUAUAUAAAUUAGAGUUAAAAAAUCAGAUGCUGUCAAACACAGAAGAAAACUAUAUGAGCACAUAUAUAUAAAUUAGAGUUAAAAAAUCACCNUUUUCUAUAACAAAAUCAUCAGAACGUGCACAGAGAUGCCUUAUUCCACUAGUUUUUCUUUGAUUUUGAUGUCACGGACAAGUGAAACUAAAUCUGGUAAAACAUUUAGCGUAAGAAACAUGGAUCAGUUAGCUACAACUGGACUGCGAUGAAAUAUAUGUCCAAGUUAUUUUAUCAUUAUUUACCAAACAACUGGACUGUUAAUUCUUCAUGUUACAUGUUAUAUAAUGACUUUUAAUGUCUUAUGACAAAUGAUACCAAACAUAUGAUACCAUGGGAUGCACUUCAAAAUUGACUAAAACAUUCAAAAUAGAAGGCUAAAUCUACACCAUCUACAUUCUGACAACAGCACUCACCAUAGAGAUGGUUAAACACUACUUUUGUUGCUUGAAUGACCUUUAUGCAGUCCAAAAAAGUUGUGACAGUACUAUGGGUAUAUGUCAGAGUAACUUCUCCAAGAGUUACUUGUACCCAAUUAAAGAAUUACGAAGUUCACCUCAACACUUCACGGUUCCCCUAAUCAAGAUCCCUGGCAAAAGAAGAUAUGUGAAAAUUUAAGACAAGACAAGAUAUUAGAUACAAAGGUUGAAUAUGGAUUUUUGCAAAACAUAUAAAGAUCUCUGUUAGCAGCGUGAGAUGAGAACCUCAAAAUCACAGCCAAAGAAGACCAAGAAACAAGUAGCUUAUCAGGAUGUCCAACUUGGAUGCCACUUUGUUUUGUGUUAGGUAUCCAACUUGGAUGUCACCUUGUGAAAGGAUAAGAACAUUGAACACAUUACUUCUUUUUGCCAAAAAAUGCAUCAAGAAUG